AUGCAAUGAGUGUGGGAAAAGCUUCACUCACAGAUCAGCCCUUUCUAGACAUCAGAGGAUCCACACAGCUUUGCUUUUUCCCCAUCCCUCCAUGAUGACAUGGAGAAUGUUGAAGUGCAGUUCUAUCAACAGGAGAGAACUCUCUAAUUUACUGGACAGGCUAACAAAGAAACAGCAGUGAUUUAAAAUCUCCACUCAGAAAUGGCGAACAACAGCACAACCCCAGCUAACUGAAGGAAGUGUAUAUGAUCACAGUAUAUUUCAGUUCUUUAAGGUAAUAUUGUCUCCGAUGAUCUGGGAAGAGAAUCCCAUGGUAAGUGGUUUUGAACUAGGCAAAAUGCUCAUGUGUUUGGUUCCCAAACCAUUUGUAACAUAGGCCCUACAGAAGAUCUCUCCUAGCUAAUCCUGUGCUAUGGGAAAUGCAGCCAUUCAUGACACAGAUGUUGAGGAAAUAGAAGUGGAGUUUUUGUCAAAUUUAUCCUUUGUAGGUUCUAAAGAUGUGUAUAAAAUAAAACCAGUGUUGAAAAUGUAA